UUCCAUCAGAGCCCAGUUAGCUGUGGUGCCGAAUACCUAUAUCUGUGAUUAGAAUUACUUUCAGCCUGUGGGCACAUAUUAUUAGCUAUGGGCGGCAGCAAUAUUAUACCUGUCAUAGCAAUCUUUGUACUCUUCAGCAGUAUAUCAUCAGCCCCUACAAGAAGGGACCUCGCUUCCAUGGUGACCGGAGACACCACAGGUCUUGAAAUACCUACUGAGUUCUUAGCAGGAACUGGUGACCGUAUAGGUGCUUUGCAGGUUGUAGUGAAUAUACGGACAGACAGUCAUGGCAAUAUUGAGGUUAUUACUAACUAAUACGAAACAGCACUAAAACCACUCUCAUGGUUUCAUUUAAUAAUUACUAAAGCUUUACUUCAAACUAUGCGAGAGACAAAAUGGUUUUGUGGAUGGCAUAAUUAUUUUGACAUGGGUAAAACCAUUGAUGGAGGAAUCUACCUAAAAUCAGUGGGUAAAACAAGGCGGGUUGAUUGCACCACAACUAUUCAACUUGUAUAUAAAUGGAGUAUAAUAUCGAUGAUUACGGAGUUAUUCUGUAUACUACAGAUAAUACGAUUAUUAAUGUGUAUUGAUAAUAUGACUCGAAUGAUAUUAUUGUAAAAUUUAUGUAAGCAUGUUUAGUAAGUUUUAUUUAAUAAGAGUUUUAAGUUAAAGCUACUAAGAAUUUUCAAAUUAUUGUAUCUACUGAUGUUGUUAAAAGUUUUAUUGUAAGAAUAAUAAUAAGUAGAGCACGCCAUGUUUUGCUAUUGGAGUGCUAAAAUAAGGAGGUAGUUAUCAGGAUUGAGAAAUACGUAGGUACAUGAAGAAAAAUAUUUGUGCCUAAUGAAUGUGAAACUUGUGAUCAAUGCAAAAUAUGGUUUGUGAUUCCCUUUUUUAUAUCACUGAAUCUUCCAUUCAAGAUUUUCUUGCAUGUAAAGAUAAAUAUCUAUCUACUGUACUAAUAAUAAUAAAAUGACAUUAUUAAACAAGAUAUUAAAAAAAAUACCGACAAAAUACCUACUAUUUUUUUGUACCUGAUUUUAUGCGUCUGGAUCUAGGUUCUACAUAAAAUCUUCCUACAUUCAAGUUUCAGCUUACGCUGCUAGUUUUAGAAACCUGAUAUUUUGCAUGUAAGUUCUUUACAUCUAUUUAUAAUGUAGAUCACCACAAAAAAAGGUAAAUUGAGGAAUUCAAAACUGAUCUUUUAACACCUAGAUCACACAAAUAAAAUCAGGGCAAAUCUUGAACCUACUUUAUAUAAAUUACCUGUUUGUUGUUUUAAUAAUUUAUAUUAUAUUCUUUCUUUUUUUAACAUUUGCUUGAUUUAUUAAAUAAUGUGUUAAUGUAAUUCUACUACUAGCACUGUUCUGUUCAAUCUGUAAAUAUACCUAAUUUUAAUAUUGAUAUAUUGUGAACUUUUUUUGGGGCUUCUCGUCUAUAAUAUUGUAGGUUAAUCUUUUUGCUAUCAAAAUAAAUGAAAUAAAAUUACACUUAGAGAUACUUUGUUUGUCUGCUGAAGUCUGAAACUACACGCUAUCUUUCAUUAAGAGAACUUUAUAAACUAUCCGUGGAAUCUGUUGGACUAUUAGUUUGUAAGGAAUGUAAACAGUUAAGCUAAGAUUUUGUGCUAAGAAAACUAAAUGUGCAAGAAUCUUGCCGGUGUCUUCACCUUGCCUUCCAACUAAUUCCAAAUUCCUACCUAAAUACUAACAUUAAAGAUAAUGACGGCGGAUGUUCUGCAAUA